GGGUUGUGAGGUUAAGCGACUAAGCGUACACGGUGGAUGCCCUGGCAGUCAGAGGCGAUGAAGGACGUGCUAAUCUGCGAUAAGCGUCGGUAAGGUGAUAUGAACCGUUAUAACCGGCGAUUUCCGAAUGGGGAAACCCAGUGUGAUUCGUCACACUAUCAUUAACUGAAUCCAUAGGUUAAUGAGGCGAACCGGGGGAACUGAAACAUCUAAGUACCCCGAGGAAAAGAAAUCAACCGAGAUUCCCCCAGUAGCGGCGAGCGAACGGGGAGCAGCCCAGAGCCUGAAUCAGUGUGUGUGUUAGUGGAAGCGUCUGGAAAGGCGCGCGAUACAGGGUGACAGCCCCGUACACAAAAAUGCACAUACUGUGAGCUCGAUGAGUAGGGCGGGACACGUGGUAUCCUGUCUGAAUAUGGGGGGACCAUCCUCCAAGGCUAAAUACUCCUGACUGACCGAUAGUGAACCAGUACCGUGAGGGAAAGGCGAAAAGAACCCCGGCGAGGGGAGUGAAAAAGAACCUGAAACCGUGUACGUACAAGCAGUGGGAGCACAGAGCAAUCUGUGUGACUGCGUACCUUUUGUAUAAUGGGUCAGCGACUUAUAUUCUGUAGCAAGGUUAACCGAAUAGGGGAGCCGAAGGGAAACCGAGUCUUAACUGGGCGUUAAGUUGCAGGGUAUAGACCCGAAACCCGGUGAUCUAGCCAUGGGCAGGUUGAAGGUUGGGUAACACUAACUGGAGGACCGAACCGACUAAUGUUGAAAAAUUAGCGGAUGACUUGUGGCUGGGGGUGAAAGGCCAAUCAAACCGGGAGAUAGCUGGUUCUCCCCGAAAGCUAUUUAGGUAGCGCCUCGUGAAUUCAUCUCCGGGGGUAGAGCACUGUUUCGGCAAGGGGGUCAUCCCGACUUACCAACCCGAUGCAAACUGCGAAUACCGGAGAAUGUUAUCACGGGAGACACACGGCGGGUGCUAACGUCCGUCGUGAAGAGGGAAACAACCCAGACCGCCAGCUAAGGUCCCAAAGUCAUGGUUAAGUGGGAAACGAUGUGGGAAGGCCCAGACAGCCAGGAUGUUGGCUUAGAAGCAGCCAUCAUUUAAAGAAAGCGUAAUAGCUCACUGGUCGAGUCGGCCUGCGCGGAAGAUGUAACGGGGCUAAACCAUGCACCGAAGCUGCGGCAGCGACGCUUAUGCGUUGUUGGGUAGGGGAGCGUUCUGUAAGCCUGUGAAGGUGUACUGUGAGGUAUGCUGGAGGUAUCAGAAGUGCGAAUGCUGACAUAAGUAACGAUAAAGCGGGUGAAAAGCCCGCUCGCCGGAAGACCAAGGGUUCCUGUCCAACGUUAAUCGGGGCAGGGUGAGUCGACCCCUAAGGCGAGGCCGAAAGGCGUAGUCGAUGGGAAACAGGUUAAUAUUCCUGUACUUGGUGUUACUGCGAAGGGGGGACGGAGAAGGCUAUGUUGGCCGGGCGACGGUUGUCCCGGUUUAAGCGUGUAGGCUGGUUUUCCAGGCAAAUCCGGAAAAUCAAGGCUGAGGCGUGAUGACGAGGCACUACGGUGCUGAAGCAACAAAUGCCCUGCUUCCAGGAAAAGCCUCUAAGCAUCAGGUAACAUCAAAUCGUACCCCAAACCGACACAGGUGGUCAGGUAGAGAAUACCAAGGCGCUUGAGAGAACUCGGGUGAAGGAACUAGGCAAAAUGGUGCCGUAACUUCGGGAGAAGGCACGCUGAUAUGUAGGUGAAGUCCUUCGCGGAUGGAGCUGAAAUCAGUCGAAGAUACCAGCUGGCUGCAACUGUUUAUUAAAAACACAGCACUGUGCAAACACGAAAGUGGACGUAUACGGUGUGACGCCUGCCCGGUGCCGGAAGGUUAAUUGAUGGGGUCAGCGCAAGCGAAGCUCUUGAUCGAAGCCCCGGUAAACGGCGGCCGUAACUAUAACGGUCCUAAGGUAGCGAAAUUCCUUGUCGGGUAAGUUCCGACCUGCACGAAUGGCGUAAUGAUGGCCAGGCUGUCUCCACCCGAGACUCAGUGAAAUUGAACUCGCUGUGAAGAUGCAGUGUACCCGCGGCAAGACGGAAAGACCCCGUGAACCUUUACUAUAGCUUGACACUGAACAUUGAGCCUUGAUGUGUAGGAUAGGUGGGAGGCUUUGAAGUGUGGACGCCAGUCUGCAUGGAGCCGACCUUGAAAUACCACCCUUUAAUGUUUGAUGUUCUAACGUUGACCCGUAAUCCGGGUUGCGGACAGUGUCUGGUGGGUAGUUUGACUGGGGCGGUCUCCUCCUAAAGAGUAACGGAGGAGCACGAAGGUUGGCUAAUCCUGGUCGGACAUCAGGAGGUUAGUGCAAUGGCAUAAGCCAGCUUGACUGCGAGCGUGACGGCGCGAGCAGGUGCGAAAGCAGGUCAUAGUGAUCCGGUGGUUCUGAAUGGAAGGGCCAUCGCUCAACGGAUAAAAGGUACUCCGGGGAUAACAGGCUGAUACCGCCCAAGAGUUCAUAUCGACGGCGGUGUUUGGCACCUCGAUGUCGGCUCAUCACAUCCUGGGGCUGAAGUAGGUCCCAAGGGUAUGGCUGUUCGCCAUUUAAAGUGGUACGCGAGCUGGGUUUAGAACGUCGUGAGACAGUUCGGUCCCUAUCUGCCGUGGGCGCUGGAGAACUGAGGGGGGCUGCUCCUAGUACGAGAGGACCGGAGUGGACGCAUCACUGGUGUUCGGGUUGUCAUGCCAAUGGCACUGCCCGGUAGCUAAAUGCGGAAGAGAUAAGUGCUGAAAGCAUCUAAGCACGAAACUUGCCCCGAGAUGAGUUCUCCCUGACUCCUUGAGAGUCCUGAAGGAACGUUGAAGACGACGACGUUGAUAGGCCGGGUGUGUAAGCGCAGCGAUGCGUUGAGCUAACCGGUACUAAUGAACCGUGAGGCUUAACCUUACAACGCCGAAGGUGUUU
rnacentral:rRNA from 1 species